UACACUAGUGGCGCACGGGUGCGUAACGCGUAACCAACCUGCCCUUGACUGGGGGAUAGCCCGCCGAAAGGCGGAUUAAUACCGCAUAAACUAGCAACCCGGCAUCGGGUAACUAGUAAAGAUUUAUUGGUCAAGGAUGGGGUUGCGUGACAUUAGCUAGUUGGCGGGGUAACGGCCCACCAAGGCGACGAUGUCUAGGGGACCUGAGAGGGUGAUCCCCCACACUGGCACUGAGAUACGGGCCAGACUCCUACGGGAGGCAGCAGUAGGGAAUAUUGGGCAAUGGACGAGAGUCUGACCCAGCCAUGCCGCGUGCCGGAUGAAGGCCUUCUGGGUUGUAAACGGCUUUUCUCAGGGAAGAAAAAGCUCCUGCGGGAGACACUGACGGUACCUGAGGAAUAAGCACCGGCUAACUCCGUGCCAGCAGCCGCGGUAAUACGGAGGGUGCAAGCGUUGUCCGGAUUUAUUGGGUUUAAAGGGUGCGUAGGCGGCCCGUUAAGUCCGGGGUGAAAGCCCACAGCUCAACUGUGGAACUGCCCUGGAUACUGGCGGGCUUGAGUCCAGACGAGGUUGGCGGAAUGGAUGGUGUAGCGGUGAAAUGCAUAGAUACCAUCCAGAACCCCGAUUGCGUA
rnacentral:rRNA from 1 species